AGGCUGUCAGACCAGAGCUGUCCCAGUAGAGAGCGCCUGGGGUUUUCAGUGACGUCUUCAAACGACGUCUGGUGAAGGCUCGCCAGUAUUCAGAGACAUCCUCAGGGAAAUCAAGACAGACUAUGAUCUGUACCUCAACUCUAUUCUGGACUCCCAGACAUCUCUCCAGGACUUGUCUGAGCUGGCUCCGCUGAGUGUUCUGGCCCUCGUAGGGGCGAGGAUCUGGAGGAAGCUGGGAACGAGGGUCCAGGCUGGGAGAGGAGGCGCAGAGGCCCUGGAGGAGAA